rnacentral:sRNA from 1 species
CACUGGUUGAGAGCUGCCGCCGCUCUCCUGAUGAGUCCAAGGCAGGAUGAAACCAAUG